rnacentral:pre_miRNA from 1 species
CUAUACAAACACCCUUGAUCCUUCAAAGCCUCUCAUAGCUCCAAUACUGGCAACAAUAAUACUCUUGGGCAUCUGAACUAUCUCCAUUCUUUUUUUCCCCCUUUCUUUGCAGUGGAUUUGCGAGGUUUUAAAGAAAUUAAAUGCGUUUUUAUG